UGGUAAUGCCGGAUGCUCCAUCACACUGCAUGGUGUGUUGGGAAAGCCUUUGCGGCAUGGGAUGGGGUCGCGUCCUAUCAGCUUGAUGGCGGGGUAACGGCCCACCAUGGCUUCGACGGGUAGCCGGCCUGAGAGGGCGACCGGCCACAUUGGGACUGAGAUACGGCCCAGACUCCUACGGGAGGCAGCAGUGGGGAAUAUUGCACAAUGGGCGCAAGCCUGAUGCAGCGACGCCGCGUGAGGGAUGGAGGCCUUCGGGUUGUAAACCUCUUUUGUUAGGGAGCAAGGCAUUUUGUGUUGAGUGUACCUUUCGAAUAAGCACCGGCUAACUACGUGCCAGCAGCCGCGGUAAUACGUAGGGUGCAAGCGUUAUCCGGAAUUAUUGGGCGUAAAGGGCUCGUAGGCGGUUCGUCGCGUCCGGUGUGAAAGUCCAUCGCUUAACGGUGGAUCCGCGCCGGGUACGGGCGGGCUUGAGUGCGGUAGGGGAGACUGGAAUUCCCGGUGUAACGGUGGAAUGUGUAGAUAUCGGAAAGAACACCA
rnacentral:rRNA from 1 species